rnacentral:siRNA from 1 species
CCCUCUAGACCUAGCUGCUG